rnacentral:lncRNA from 1 species
GAUACUUAUAAGAUUGUGGCUUAAAGAAAUAAAUAUUUUCUAGAAAACCAAGUGGUCAGUAUAACAUCAUGAGCAUAUGAAAUCUGGUUGAUCUAUGAAAAUAUUUUUUUGACAUUGUUUAUAACAUGAUCAAAACGGGAAAUAACUCUAUCUCAGACUACACCAAUGGAAAUUAAUCUUAAAACCAUAAAAACAGCAAAAACAAAAACUAACAACAUUUAUAAUUUUCAUUCAGCGAACAAUAUAAAUAUUCAAUCGGAUAUAUACAAAG